rfam:Myotis lucifugus cont2.64965, whole genome shotgun sequence.
GCCUGUGUGGUUCAGUGGUUAGAGUGUUGGCCUGCACACCAAAGGGUUGUGGGUUUGAUUCCUGGUCAAGGGCA